rnacentral:rRNA from 1 species
UACGAAAGGUGCGAGCGUUAAUCGGAAUUACUGGGCGUAAAGCGUGCGUAGGCGGCUAUUUAAGUCGGAUGUGAAAGCCCCGGGCUCAACCUGGGAAUGGCAUUUGAUACUGGAUAGCUAGAGUAUGGUAGAGGUGAGUGGAAUUUCAGGUGUAGAGGUGAAAUGCGUAGAGAUCUGAAGGAACAUCAGUGGCGAAGGCGACUCACUGGGCCAUUACUGACACUGAGGUGCGAAAGCGUGGGUAGCAAACAGG